AGGGUUUGAUCCUGGCUCAGAGUGAACGCUGGCGGCGUGGAUAAGGCAUGCAAGUCGUGCGAUCGUUUUAUCGAGAGGUGACCGACCUUCGGGAAGGUUGCCAAUUGGUGAAAGGAUAGCGGCAAACGGGUGAGUAACGCGUGGGUAAUGUACCCUUUAGAGGGGGAUAGUCCGCUGAAAGGCGAAGUAAUACCCUAUAGUACCAUAGGUCGUAAGGCAUAUGGUUAAAGAUGGCCUCUGCUUGUAAGCUACCGCUAGAGGAGCAGCCCGCGUCCUAUUAGGUUGUUGGUAGGGUAAUGGCCUACCAAGCCAGAGAUGGGUAGCAGGCUUGAGAUGGUGGUCUGUCACACCGGGACUGAGACACUGCCCGGACUCCUACGGGAGGCUGCAGUCGAGAAUCUUUCCCAAUGGGCGAAAGCCUGAGGAUGCGACGUCGCGUGGAGGAUGAAGGCCUUCGGGUCGUAAACUCCUUUUAUCAGGGAGGAAGGCUAAAAGGUAAAUAAUCUUUUAGAUUGACUGUACCUGUUGAAUAAGCCACGGCUAACUCCGUGCCAGCAGCCGCGGUAAUACGGAGGUGGCAAGCGUUACUCGGAAUGACUGGGUGUAAGGGGUCCGCAGGCGGCCUUGCGAGUGGAAUGUGAAAUCCAUCAGCUUAACUGAUGAACUGCAUUUCAAACUGCUUGGCUAGAGGCAGAAAGAGGAGAGCGGAACUGUCGGUGUAAAGGUGAAAUUUUGUGGAUAUCGACAGGAACGCCCGUGGAGAAGUCGGCUCUCUGGUUCUGACCUGACGCUCAGGGACGAAAGCUAGGGGAGCAAACAGGAUUAGAUACCCUGGUAGUCCUAGCUGUAAACGAUGGGCACUAGGUGUUCCCGGUUUACCGGGAGUGCCGUAACUAACGCGUUAAGUGCCCCACCUGGGGACUACGGCCGCAAGGCUAAAACUCAAAGGAAUUGACGGGGGCCCGCACAAGCGGUGGAACACGUGGUUUAAUUCGAUGCUACGCGAGGAACCUUACCAGGGUUUGACAUGCUGGAAGUAAUCGCCUGAAAGGGUGGAUGACCUGUAUCCAAUCAGGUACCAGCACAGGUGCUGCAUGGUUGUCGUCAGCUCGUGCCGUGAGGUGUUCCCUUAAGUGGGAGAACGAGCGCAACCCUCGCUAUUAGUUGCUACUUAGGUGUAACAAUCUAAGGCACUCUAACAGGACUGCCCGCGUUAAGUGGGAGGAAGGUGAGGACGACGUCAAAUCAGCAUGGCCCUUAUGUCCUGGGCUACACACGUGUUACAAUGCCUGUUACAACGGGGGGCUAAGCCGUAAGGUGGAGCAAAUCCUUAAAAAGCAGGCUCAGUUCGGAUUGAGGGCUGCAAUUCGCCCUCAUGAAGCUGGAAUCGCUAGUAAUGGCGCAUCAGCAACGGCGCCGUGAAUACGUUCCCGGGCCUUGUACACACCGCCCGUCAAGCGCUGAAAGUAGGUGGCGCCCGAAAUCCCGACUUGCUCGGGAUCACGGUGAAAUUUAUGAUUGGCGCUAAGUCGUAACAAGUUA
rnacentral:rRNA from 1 species